rnacentral:tRNA from 1 species
GCCGAGGUGGCUCAGUGGUAGAGCACCUCCUUGGUAAGGAGGCGGUCGUGGGUUCAAUUCCCACCCUCGGCU